UAUGCCGGCUCACUGUGCUGCAUACAGUUACACACUACGUCGUACGAUUGAGACAAGGAAACUUGGAAUGACUUUUCAUAGGUUUCCCCGAGACUAUGGGUUGAGGAGGAAUUGGAAGUUUGUCGGCUUAGACCUGGUGUCAUUCCAUCAGUGUUAAACUUCCCGGCUCAUCUUGGAAGAGUACGUGCCAGAAAGACCACGACCAAGCAGCCUUGAGAUCUUAGACAGUGUCUCCCUGAGGUCCCUCUCUAUCUCCCCAUACAUCCACCAACCACUGGAACACAUCUCCAAAGUUCUGCCAGGCCAGCUCAGCUUCCCCUCAGAAGAAGUGCCGCCACCUGCCAGAUGAAGGAGCCUUUUGAGAGGCAGCUGGCAUCGUGAUUGGACUGUACUUUGGUCUGUUCCAAUCCAGCUUCAGCUCCAGAGACGGCAGGCGGGACGAGUCAACGGAGGCCGGGUGGACGAAGGCAUGCAGCUGAGUACAAUCCAGAAAACAACAGAGGAGGAGUGCAGGGCCCUGGGCCAGAAUAAACAGAGAAGCACAUUAUGUCUCUUAGAAAACAUCAUAAUACAGCCUUUGGUAUGAAAAAACACCAACAUAUACAUCGUAUAUUGUACAAAUAACAAGUCAAAGGAAAGACACAUACAUUGUAGAAUU